rnacentral:rRNA from 1 species
AUUGAACGCUGGCGGCAUGCCUUACACAUGCAAGUCGAACGAAGCACUUAACUUGAUUUCUUCGGAUUGAUUGUUCUGUGACUGAGUGGCGGACGGGUGAGUAACGCGUGGGUAACCUGCCUCAUACAGGGGGAUAACAGUUAGAAAUGACUGCUAAUACCGCAUAAGCGCACGGUAUCGCAUGAUACAGUGUGAAAAGCCGAGACGGUAUGAGAUGGACCCGCGUCUGAUUAGGUAGUUGGUGAGGUAACGGCCCACCAAGCCGACGAUCAGUAGCCGACCUGAGAGGGUGACCGGCCACAUUGGGACUGAGACACGGCCCAA